CAAUGAACCUAUGAAGCAUGUUUUGGUGGGAGGAAGCCGAAGUCCCCAGAGAAAACCCCAGGAUCAUACACACAGCAGGGUUGCAAGGUGUUCGAUCCCACCUUGCGAACUGCCACUGAAUGGUUGUAAAGAGUCAUUGAAGAAAGAAUGCUUUGGGGGUAGGAGCAAAAGCCACAGAUGCCCUGCUGUGCAGAGCAGAAGCUGCACAGGCAAACCCGCAGGAGGCCGACCAGAGGGCAGGGAAGCUGAGAGGUGAAGCAUGCCCUCAGCCGCUGGGAGGGUCUAUGUAGAGACCCAUAAAUGUUAACCCCUUAACGAUGUCUGAUGCAAACAUGUAUCAAACCGCUUUCGCUCCAGCCUUACCUUAAGGUAGCAUUUACAUAAAGUAAAAGCAUAUGCAAUUUGUUUUCAUAGCUGGAAAUAAAUUCAGGCGUCAAAGGAUGAAUGAGCAGCAGUCCUAAAGGCUGAUUAAUGAUCGGUAAAAAGGAACUGAUGAGGAAAUGUUCUAACUUGAUCAGACUUCAGGGAAAAUAAAUCACCUGAGAGCUUGCAUUCUAACUUUUUCAGUUCAGACUUCAGACAC